rnacentral:rRNA from 1 species
UUUGAGAGUUUGAUCCUGGCUCAGGACGAACGCUGGCGGCGUGCCUAAUACAUGCAAGUUGAGCGCUGAAGGUUGGUACUUGUACCGACUGGAUGAGCAGCGAACGGGUGAGUAACGCGUGGGGAAUCUGCCUUUGAGCGGGGGACAACAUUUGGAAACGAAUGCUAAUACCGCAUAAAAACUUUAAACACAAGUUUUAAGUUUGAAAGAUGCAAUUGCAUCACUCAAAGAUGAUCCCGCGUUGUAUUAGCUAGUUGGUGAGGUAAAGGCUCACCAAGGCGAUGAUACAUAGCCGACCUGAGAGGGUGAUCGGCCACAUUGGGACUGAGACACGGCCCAAACUCCUACGGGAGGCAGCAGUAGGGAAUCUUCGGCAAUGGACGAAAGUCUGACCGAGCAACGCCGCGUGAGUGAAGAAGGUUUUCGGAUCGUAAAACUCUGUUGGUAGAGAAGAACGUUGGUGAGAGUGGAAAGCUCAUCAAGUGACGGUAACUACCCAGAAAGGGACGGCUAACUACGUGCCAGCAGCCGCGGUAAUACGUAGGUCCCGAGCGUUGUCCGGAUUUAUUGGGCGUAAAGCGAGCGCAGGUGGUUUAUUAAGUCUGGUGUAAAAGGCAGUGG